AUUGAACGCUGGCGGCAGGCCUAACACAUGCAAGUCGAACGAGUGGCGGACGGGUGAGUAAUGUCUGGGAAACUGCCUGAUGGAGGGGGAUAACUACUGGAACCGGUAGCUAAUACCGCAUACCAUCGGAUGUGCCCAGAUGGGAGUAGUUAGUAGGUGGGGUAACUGCUCACCUAGGCAACGAUCCCUAGCUGGUCUGAGAGGAUGACCAUCCACACGGGAACUGAGACACGGUCCAGCCUCCUACGGGAGGCAGCAGUGGGGAAUAUUGCACAAGUGGCGCAAGCCUGAUGCAGCCAUGCCGCGUGUAUGAAGAAGGCCUUCGGGUUGUAAAGUACUUUCAGCGGGGAGGCGUUACCCGCAGAAGAAGCACCGGCUAACUCCGUGCCAGCAGCCGCGGUAAUUC
rnacentral:rRNA from 1 species